rnacentral:tRNA from 1 species
GGCGGUAUAGCUCAGUGGUAGAGCAUUUGACUGCAGAUCAAGAGGUCCCCAGUUCAAAUCUGGGUGCCCCUU